AACGAGUAGUACAUAACAAGUAUCUGAGGUGGGUGACCGAUAGCCAAGACAGGUAGUUCAGGUUUGAGCAAAUCAACUGAGAUGGCACACGAAGAAUGCGCAUAAACGGAUUUUGGUUAGUAUUAAGAGGUCUAAAAGGAGUGGAUAAUGAAGCAAUAUGAAGGCGACGCGUAGUAUUCCUACAUGGUUGGAUGGAUGGGUGGCAAGAAUGUGAAUGAUAGUGAGGCUAAUGGCAUGGGGAAAGAAGAGUGAAAGGGGUAAUAGAGAGUAGAGGCAGCUACGUAUUGGCUUGAGGAAAGUCAGCGGUCAGUGUGCUGUCAACUCACGGACUGACUACGGUACUUCAAUGAACGCGGUAAAAAAGG
rnacentral:sRNA from 1 species